GACGAACCGUGCGAGCGUUAUUCGGAUUCACCGGGCUUAAAGGGCGCGUAGGCGGCCGAGCAAGUCCGGGGUGAAAUCUUUCGGCUUAACCGGAAAAGUGCCUGGGAAACUGCUCGUCUUGAGGGAGGUAGGGGCCUGUGGAACUUCCGGUGGAGCGGUGAAAUGCGUUGAUAUCGGAAGGAACGCCGGUGGCGAAAGCGACGGGCUGGCCCUCCACUGACGCUGAGGCGCGAAAGCCAGGGGAGCGAACGGG
rnacentral:rRNA from 1 species